rnacentral:piRNA from 1 species
UCCGUGGGUGUUUCUCGUUAGGUGGAAC